rnacentral:lncRNA from 1 species
UUAUUGUUUGGUUUACUACUUGUGAUGACCCUGGGGCUCCUUAGGGUUUGCUUGCAGGAGUGAGUCUGUAGAUGCUCAGGGAGGGGUAAAGGUGUGUGAGCCCUUUCUCCCACAGCUACCAGUAUCUGCAGAUCAGUCUUGGAGGUAGGAGCUCACAGACCCUUUCCUCCAUGACAGGAUGUUGACAGCCCAUCUAAAACUUUGCUUUUUCCUUUUGUUUUUUUGAAAUGGGAUUUCUAAGUGUAACAGCCCUGACUGAACUCACAGAGAUCCACCUGCCUCUGCCUCUCUAGUGCUAGGAUUAAAGGCAGGUGCCACCACCAUCCAGUCCCAAUCUUUAACUUUUUAAAAUUACCUUUAUUUAUUUAUACAGAACAGUGAACAACUUAUGGAAGUUGGUUUUCUCUUUACACUAUGUAGAUCCUGGCUGUUGAACUCAGGUUGUCUGGCAUGGCAGUAAAGUACCUUUACCCCUGAGCCUAGUCUGAUCUUGCACAUGUCUUGCACCAGUAAAUGCUUCUCCUCCGAGCUCCAAGCUGCACAGACACUGCCGUGCUCUGAAGCAUAUUACAUGCUCACUCACCUACUUCCUCUGGCUCUUACAGUCUUUCCUUCCCAGUUUCUGUGAUACGAGGGAGGAGGUGCUAUAGAUGUCCCGUGUUCGGCUUAGAGAUCCUUGAGAAGUUCCCACUUGCCUACACCAGACUUACUAAUCUGUACUAGGAGGAUGGAGAUUGCAGUUGAAUGGGCACAUCAGAUCCAUUUAGCUUCCCCACCAAGGUCUAGGACCUCCCUGGCCUCCAGCAUCUGAAGAGGUGGAAUCCUUCCCUGGGAGCAGGUCACAUCAACACCUUUCCGGGUUGAUUUCCUCAUCACUGAUUGGGUGCUGUUGCAGCAGUGUGUGCUUCUUGCCUGGCACCGAGGGGACACAGCCUAGUAAGACUUGAUAAGAGUUCCCUCACAGCCUGAGGAGCACCAUUUAACUGUGUGCAGGCUGGCCAUCGGGGAGGAAGCAUGCACAGGGAGGGAGCACCAUCCUUGGUUUAGCUUGAUGUCUCCCUUUCUGUAAUUGGUUCUUGAGUAUUUUAUAGCUCAGAUGGCCCAGGCCAGCUUUAAGUUCAAGAUCUUCCUUUAUUUUCAGCAUGUUGGAACUACAGGCCAUACAUGGCCUAGUUUUGAUUUUUAUGAAGCAUAGAGACUCCACAAUUAACAUGUUUGCUUGGGCAGCUUUCUAAAGCUUCUGAGUAGUAGCAGUAUUUAGAGGUGUUUCGUUUCUGCCAUGCUGGAAAGGGUUUAAACAUGCUUCACAGCAUGGUAAAGCCUACCCAGGGGGACAGCAGUUCCCCGUCUCUUGUGAGGAAUUAGAGAAAACAAGGAUGGCCUUCUAUAGUGUAUUCAUUCUCUGCUCUGCAGUUCCUGCAUCGUGCCUUCUUCCUGCCUGUCACAGCUUGCCAGGUUCCCGGGGGCCGUUGAUGGGUUUUUCUCCCUUCGUACCUUUCGGGUUCACGGUGUGAACAUGGUUCUUCUCUGGUCUGCUUUUGUGCCCUUCUCCUUCCUAACUCACCCAUCUGCAGCGUCCUACUCUCCUUCCCUACCCCAUCCGCCUUGUCUGUCUGUAGCCUGUGGUAUUUUCUCAGGAACAUUCCCUUCCUCUCCUUGCUUGGCUUCGUUGUUGACUCAGCUAAAACUUGCAGGUAGUGUGAGCAGAGCAGGUGAUAAUUCAACAAGUGUUUCCUGAUAGCUGCUGCCCUUGCAUGCAUGUCCUGUGUCCUUAGUUAGCUGGGUGUCUCCUUCAUCUCCCUCUGAGCCCUGCAGUCCCACUCGGGGUAUGACAUAUACCUCCAACAUUUCUAGUCCCCUGUGACCACCUCCUGCUCAGCCUUAUGAGGAAACCUCCAUGGGCCUUUCUUCUGUAUCUUCAUCACAUACAAAUCCCUGUGAUCCUAACUUAAGAUUCCAACUAGAAGCAUGACUUGAGUGCUCAGAACCUCUGCUGGGGCCUCAGUGGCUCGUGUACUCUAGCUACAACCUCUCUCUGUGUUUUAUAGUUCACCAGCCCUUGACACAGUCCAGCUGUGCCACAGGUACCACACUGGGAACUUGUCACCCUCAAGACACUUUUUUCAUUUGUUCCUGGUUUGUUGUUUCCUGCCUAUUUAAAGUUUAGCUCAUAGACUAGCAGAGCCACCCUUAGGAUCCUUCCUCUCCCAUGUUUACCCAGCAUGCUCCGCUGCCUUUCUCUCCCAGUAAGUAGUCUUGGACUCUGGUUAUCUGUGGAUUCAUUACCACCAUUUCCCCUGACUGAGCUUAGUAAAUGUUUACCAAGUGCCUGAGCAGCUCUGGGGACAGCCUAAUAGCAGGCACAUUUGUUUGUUUGCAUAGUGGGCAUGAGAGCAGCUGGUGUUCUGGCAAGUACAUCAGAAGCCUAUAAGGACUCCACAAUUUGUCCCAGGACAGUGCCCUUCUGGCUGUACCGUGCUGCCAGGUGGUUAUGAGGAUAUAAUGGCUGACUGUAUUUGAGACUCCUUUUCUUCAAAUUUUCAAAACUGGAUUCUUUAGAGUGGCCACUGCUUUCCUGAGGAUGCUGUUAGCAAACAACACGGCACCAGUGUUGGGAAAAGAAUUUAGUGCCUUUCAAGCACAGGUGUAACAAGGGCCGUCCCCCUUGCAGCCCUCGAGUUAAUGUUAAAAGUUAGCAUCACCUGGUGAGAGGGCGUGGCCAGGCUUUGCCCAUUCCUUGUUUCCAGACUGGGAAGGAACCUUGCUUUUCACCUGUGGCUGGGAGGGCGGGGCCAGACAGCACAGGGCACUGGGUGCUUUUGCUCGGAGACUGGCGAUGCAGCUCAUCCGGGCCUGCAGACGGCUUUGGGGAGGGGCUUUGCAACACUGCCCCAUUUCCUCUUGUGGAACUGAAGGGAGGAAGAAGACCUUGAUGAGAGGCGUCUCCUGGUAGAGUCAUUCCGGCCUGCAAGCCUUUCAGUCCUUGGUAGUCAGGGAAGGUGAAACUGUCCCCAUAAUCUAAUGACUAGACACAUGAGUAGCUUUUUAGAGUGUGUCUUGAAGUUGGAAGUCACUAAAGACUUUACUCUGUUUUGUAGUAACUUUUUUUUUAAAUCUGUGGUUAAUUUUUCUCCCUCUAAAUACAUUUUUUUGUGUAAACUCUUUUUAAAAAAAUAACUGGAUCUGGAGAAAUGACUGAUGGCACUUACUGCUGUUUCAGACGUAGUCAUCUGCCAGCACCGUCAUGGCAGCUGAUAACCAUCUGUAACGCCAGGCCCAGGGACCAGAUACCCUCUGUUGGCCUCUGGCUUUGCCAGAAUGUUGUGCACAUAAACCCAUGUUUAUGUGCCCCUCUCGUGUGUGUGUGCGCACACACACACACGAAGGAAUUUAAAAAUGGAAAUAAAGUAGUUAAAUAAUGUAGAAAACCUAAAUUCUAAAUGCCUUGCUUCCUGUGUCUUCCAGACUUUUUUUGACAUACAUAAUAUGUAUAUGAUAAAGUUUUUAAACUAAAAUAUUUUAUAAAUUCUUUCAGAAUUUUAUGCAGUAUGUUUUGAUCCCCAACUCCUCAAGAGAUCUAUCUCAACUUCACUUCCCACCCAGCUCUGUGUUCUCUCUUAAAAACUCAAGAGUCCAAAUGUGCUGCCCUUUUAUGUGUGGGGGAAAGAAAAUAUUUUUUAAAAGAAUUUUUACUACAUAGAUGUUAUUUACACAACUUUUUGGGGAAUUGGUUCUCUUCUUCCAACAGGUUGGACCCACAAAUCAAAGUCAGGAUGUCAGGUUUUGUGGCAAAUAAGUGCCUUUAUCUGCUAUGCCAUCUUGCCAGCUCAAGAAAAAGAAAAACAAAACAAAACAAAACAACAACCUUGCCCCUGUACACUAUAUAGGGUUCAGUUUAAAGAACAAGAGACUUUGUAGAUGUGUAAGUUUCUGGUAUUUGUUAAUGCUGAGGAUAAUUUUGUGAUACAUAUAUAAUAGAUAUAUUAUAAUGUAACCAGUUUUGCUAGAUGUUUGUUUGUGAGACAUUUUAAGUGAAGACAAGAUUUAAAAGUGAACCUAGG